rnacentral:rRNA from 1 species
GACGAACGCUGGCGGCGUGCUUAACACAUGCAAGUCGAACGGUAAGGCCCUUCGGGGUACACGAGUGGCGAACGGGUGAGUAACACGUGGGUGAUCUGCCCUGCACUUCGGGAUAAGCCUGGGAAACUGGGUCUAAUACCGGAUAGGACCACUGCCUGCAUGGGUGGUGGUGGAAAGCUUUUGCGGUGUGGGAUGGGCCCGCGGCCUAUCAGCUUGUUGGUGGGGUGAUGGCCUACCAAGGCGACGACGGGUAGCCGGCCUGAGAGGGUGACCGGCCACACUGGGACUGAGAUACGGCCCAGACUCCUACGGGAGGCAGCAGUGGGGAAUAUUGCACAAUGGGCGCAAGCCUGAUGCUGCGACGCCGCGUGAGGGAUGACGGCCUUCGGGUUGUAAACCUCUUUCAGCACCGACGAAGCGCAAGUGACGGUGGGUGCAGAAGAAGGACCGGCCAACUACGUGCCAGCCGCCGCCGUAAGAC